rnacentral:lncRNA from 1 species
UUCCAAUACUUCAAUACAUCCAUCUCUUUCUCUCCGGAGCUGAUGGAUAGAGUGCUUCUUGCUCUUGAUCCGUGACACAAAGAAUAUGAUAUUUUGGCAAGCCAACUCAAGUUUGGCUCUGGAGAACUGUAGGUCGGCCGUCAUUUGGGAGAUCUUCUCUAGUAGUUUUUUCUCACGUUCAGUUGCUGCCUGGAGUUGUUCGACGGUAGUAUUCUUUUCGAUGGUGACGG